rnacentral:lncRNA from 1 species
CAUGGGUCCUGUCCCCAUGCAGCAGUUCUCACUGCCCAUGGGUCCUGUCCCCAUGCCGGCAGCAGCAUUUUACUGCCCAUGGGUCCUGUCCCCAUGCUAUUCCACGCUAUUCUCUAAAUAAAAGAGCACUAGUGCCAGACCUUGAGAGUCCAAGAAAUCUUUCUUUUGACUCCUUGACUCGCCAACCCUGCAUCAUUUCUGGCAGCCCAUACGGGGAUCUUGCUUCAUCAGCUUGUGAGCUCAAGCUCUGCUAAGUGCCCUUUUUUCCUUGUGCCUUUCUCUUUUUCAAGGAUGGAUCUAAAUUCACUUCUCCAUUGGGAAAUUUCUUGGACAGCAGUAUGAAUCCACGUUUCCUGCCCAUGGCUACUCUAUGGGGCAAAUCAUGGCAUUCAGCUUGAAGAGAAUCAGUACCUUAAGCCUGAAGAUUUAAAGAACCCUCUCUCUCUCUUUCUCUCUCUCUUUUUGCAUCAUCUAUAACUCACAGCCAUUUGGUAAAAUAUGCCUUUAUAAACAAAGGUUAAAACAUUUAUCUUUUUCCCUCUACUUGAUCUUUGCAGAAUUUAAAAACACUUAUUAAAUAUUCUUAUUUUUCAUGCUAAUAUAGAUGUUUGCAUAAAUUGAAAAAUAAUCUGCUUUCCUUGUAACAGAACACAAUUAGGCAAGUCCUUAGCAUAGCUUCUUAGCCUAAAGAGACUUUUAAAGAUCUAAUCUAAGAUUCUUUAUUGCCAGAUGGUUUUAAAGAACAAACGUUGACUUUAUGGAACCUAUAAAGUCCCUUGGAGAAUACCAAAGCUUUGACGGGAAUAUCAUAUUUGAGAAUAUGCAUAAAAGAUUAUUCUUACUACAUUUAUGUAAAUCAUCUGCCAAGUUUAUUGAGACUAGACUGAUUUUACAAACAAAGUAGUCUUACUGUGAUUAUCUUUGGCAAAAAUGAAUGACAUUAGAGAGAAAUUUGUUUCAAUAGAAAACUAUAAUGUCCCCAUGAUGAGAUUCUAGACAUGUUCAUUGUCUGAGUUUUUGUUAUAUACUUACAAACUGGACUGGAUCAUGAAUUCUUCUAGUUUCCUCCAGUAUUUGGCUGCAACUCUUCAGACUAGCUUUUCCAAUUUUCUUCUACUCUUCUGACUUGCAAUCACUAAAAAUGAAAACGACCCUUUUCCCAAAGUCC